rnacentral:lncRNA from 1 species
GGCCUGAAAAGAUCGAUCUUGCCCCCGAUCCUGCAAAGUUGGAUGACCCAUCUACAUACAGCUCCUAAGCAUCUGAGCUAGCUCUGAGUGGAUCAUCAUGGGCCUAUUCGUGAGAUUCGACUUCCUCGAGCUCCUCUGGCUCGUCCGAAAUGGUACAUUCUGCCAUGAGAUUAGCCAGAAUCUGAGCCUUGAUUGACGGAUGUGGCCGAUACUGGAUUUCAAAUUCGGAUAGCUCUUUCACCCAAUUUGCAAUUUGUCCUGAUGUAUCCGGCCGAUAAAGGAUGCUUUUUAUUGGUUGGUCUGUCUGGAGA